rnacentral:rRNA from 1 species
UACGUAGGGUGCAAGCGUUGUCCGGAAUUAUUGGGCGUAAAGAGCUCGUAGGCGGUCUGUCGCGUCUGCUGUGAAAACUCAGGGCUUAACCCUGAGCUUGCAGUGGGUACGGGCAGACUAGAGUGCGGUAGGGGAGACUGGAAUUCCUGGUGUAGCGGUGAAAUGCGCAGAUAUCAGGAGGAACACCGGUGGCGAAGGCGGCGAUCUGGGUCGAUACUGACGCUGGAGGUGCGAAAGCGUGGGGAGCAAACAGG